AAGCCUUAGGAAACAGCUACAUCAAUCUGCCUCAGGUAAUCUUCGACUUCUGCGAAUCAUCGCAUCUCCAUUUUUGCCAUGUAUCUCUGUACUUUAGCUUAGCUCUCUCCAGUCAUAUUGUCCACAAUUGAAUGAACUUAAGCCGGAUAAACUAAGGUUUCCUGAUAAUGUAUUAUCCAUCAUGUGUAUAAAUUCGAUUUUGUAGCUUUCUUAUUCGUAAGUUAGGAAUUUGUCUUUUGUCCAUGUUUAAUAUAGUCUUAGCUUCUUUAGGUAAAGCCUGGAAGUCAUUAUAACUUAUGCUAUCUGUACCUGCAAAAGAAAAAACAAUAUUAGCCAUAAAAUCUGCCAGCUUGUUUCCUGCUCUCAAUGUAUGCUCAAUGGCCACCUCUAACCCUUCCUUAAGAACUUGUAUUCUUCUUAUCUCCAUUGUCACCUCC
rnacentral:lncRNA from 1 species